rnacentral:rRNA from 1 species
CUAGCAUAUCAAUAAGCGGAGGAAAAGAAACCAACAGGGAUUGCCCUAGUAACGGCGAGUGAAGCGGCAACAGCUCAAAUUUGAAAUCUGGCCCUCGGGUCCGAGUUGUAAUUUGUAGAGGAUGCUUUUGGUGAGGUACCUUCCGAGUUCCCUGGAACGGGACGCCAUAGAGGGUGAGAGCCCCGUCUGGUUGGAUACCGAGCCUCUGUAAAGCUCCUUCGACGAGUCGAGUAGUUUGGGAAUGCUGCUCUAAAUGGGAGGUAUAUGUCUUCUAAAGCUAAAUACCGGCCAGAGACCGAUAGCGCACAAGUAGAGUGAUCGAAAGAUGAAAAGCACUUUGAAAAGAGAGUUAAAAAGUACGUGAAAUUGUUGAAAGGGAAGCGCUUAUGACCAGACUUGGGCUUGGUUGAUCAUCCUGGGUUCUCCCUGGUGCACUCUUCCAGUUCAGGCCAGCAUCAGUUCGCUGCGGGGGAUAAAAGUUUUGGGAAUGUGGCUCCCUCGGGAGUGUUAUAGCCCAUUUCAUAAUACCCUGCUCCGGACUGAGGUUCGCGCAUCUGCAAGGAUGCUGGCGUAAUGGUCAUCAGCGACCCGUCUUGAAACACGGACCAAGGAGUCGUCUUCGUAUGCGAGUGUUCGGGUGUUAAACCCCUACGCGUAAUGAAAGUGAACGCAGGUGAGAGCUUCGGCGCAUCAUCGACCGAUCCUGAUGUUCUCGGAUGGAUUUGAGUAAGAGCAUACGGGGCCGGACCCGAAAGAAGGUGAACUAUGCCUGUAUAGGGUGAAGCCAGAGGAAACUCUGGUGGAGGCUCGCAGCGGUUCUGACGUGCAAAUCGAUCGUCAAAUAUGGGCAUGGGGGCGAAAGACUAAUCGAACCUUCUAGUAGCUGGUUUCCGC